CAGCAGCAGCCACGGUAAUACAGAGGGUGCGAGCGUUAAUCGGAUUUACUGGGCGUAAAGCGUGCGUAGGCGGCUUCUUAAGUCGGAUGUGAAAUCCCUGAGCUUAACUUAGGAAUUGCAUUCGAUACUGGGAAGCUAGAGUAUGGGAGAGGAUGGUAGAAUUCCAGGUGUAGCGGUGAAAUGCGUAGAGAUCUGGAGGAAUACCGAUGGCGAAGGCAGCCAUCUGGCCUAAUACUGACGCUGAGGUACGAAAGCAUGGGGAGCAAACAGGAUUAGAUACCCCUGUAGUCACUGUCUCUUAUAC
rnacentral:rRNA from 1 species